GACGAACGCUGGCGGCGUGCUUAACACAUGCAAGUCGAGCGGUAAGGCCCUUUCGGGGUACGACGAGCGGCGAACGGGUGAGUAACACGUGGGUGACCUGCCCUCAGCUCUGGGAUAAGCCCGGGAAACUGGGGUCUAAUACCGGAUAUGACUUCAUGACGCAUGUUGUGGAGUGGGAAAGCCUUGUGCGGCUGAGGAUGGGCCCGCGGCCUAUCAGCUUGUUGGUGGGGUGANGGCCUACCAAGGCGACGACGGGUAGCCGGCCUGAGAGGGCGACCGGCCACACUGGGACUGAGAUA
rnacentral:rRNA from 1 species